AUUGAACGCUGGCGGCAUGCCUUACACAUGCAAGUCGAACGGUAACAGGUCUUCGGAUGCUGACGAGUGGCGAACGGGUGAGUAAUACAUCGGAACGUGCCCGAUCGUGGGGGAUAACGAGGCGAAAGCUUUGCUAAUACCGCAUAAGAUCUAUGGAUGAAAGCAGGGGACCGCAAGGCCUUGCGCGAACGGAGCGGCCGAUGGCAGAUUAGGUAGUUGGUGGGGUAAAGGCUUACCAAGCCUACGAUCUGUAGCUGGUCUGAGAGGACGACCAGCCACACUGGGACUGAGACACGGCCCAGACUCCUACGGGAGGCAGCAGUGGGGAAUUUUGGACAAUGGGCGCAAGCCUGAUCCAGCCAUGCCGCGUGCAGGAUGAAGGCCUUCGGGUUGUAAACUGCUUUUGUACGGAACGAAAAGCCUUCUUCUAAUAAAGGGAGGUCAUGACGGUACCGUAAGAAUAAGCACCGGCUAACUACGUGCCAGCAGCCGCCGUAA
rnacentral:rRNA from 1 species